rnacentral:rRNA from 1 species
AGCUAAUACUUGCUUUAGCACUCUUGAUUAAGUUCUUGAGUGUGUACUUGUUAAGCCUUUUAAGAAAAAAGUUAUUAACUUAAGGAAUUAUAACAAAGAAGUAACACGUAAUGGAUCCGUCCAUUUUUAGUGUGUAUCAAUCGAGUUUCUGACCUAUCAGCUUUUGAUGUUAGGGUAUUGGCCUAACAUGGCUAUGACGGGUAACGGGGAAUUAGAGUUCGAUUCCGGAGAGGGAGCCUGAGAAAUAGCUACCACAUCUAAGGAAGGCAGCAGGCGCGUAAAUUACCCAAUUCUAAAGAAGAGAGGUAGUGACAAGAAAUAACAAUACAAGGCCAAUCUGGCUUUGUAAUUGGAAUGAUGGGAAUUUAAAACCUUCCCAAAACUCAAUUGGAGGGCAAGUCUGGUGCCAGCAGCCGCGGUAAUUCCAGCUCCAAUAGCGUAUAUUAAAAUUGUUGCAGUUAAAACGCUCGUAGUUGAAUUUCAAAGAAUCGAUAUUUUAAGCAACGCUUUUAGCUUAAUCCACAUAACUGAUACUACGUAUCGACUUUGUGCGCAUUUUGCUAUUAUGUGUUCUUUUAAUUAAAAUGAUUCUUUUUAAGGUCUUUCUCUUGCUUCGGCAUUUGAAGAUCUUGUUACUUUGAGUAAAUUAGAGUGUUCAAAGCAAACAGAUAUAGCAUUGCGCGUUUGAAUACUACAGCAUGGAAUAACAAAAUUGAACAAGUCAGAAUUUUGUUCUUUUUUCUUAUUUUGGCUUAGUUACGAUUAAUAGGAGUAGCUUGGGGGCAUUUGUAUUCAGAUGUCAGAGGUGAAAUUCUUAGAUUUUCUGGAGACAAACAACUGCGAAAGCAUUUGCCUAAAAUACUUCCAUUAAUCAAGAACGAAAGUUAAGGGAGUGAAGACGAUCAGAUACCGUUGUAAUCUUAACCAUAAACUAUGCCGGCUAGGCUUUGGAUGAAAGAUUUUAAAAUAAGAGUUUUUUCUCUGAGGAGUUAAAACUCUUAGAUUGCUUCCUUCAGUGCCUUAUGAGAAAUCAAAGUCUUUGGGUUCUGGGGCGAGUAUUCGCGCAAGCGAGAAAGUUAAAAGAAUUGACGGAAGGGCACCGCCAGGCGUGGAGCUUGCGGCUUAAUUUGACUCAACACGGGAAAACUCACUAGUUUAAGACAAGAGUAGGAUUGACAGAUUAAUAGCUCUUUCUUGAUUUCUUGGAUGGUGAUGCAUGGCCGUUUUUAGUUCGUGAAUAUGAUUUGUCUGGUUAAUUCCGAUAACGAACGAGAUCUUAACCUGCUAAUUAGCGGCAAAUACGAUAUAUUCUUAUGUGGAAUUGAAUAUAGUUGAUUUGCUUAUUUUGAAGGAAAUAUUGGGAUGCGUAAAGUGUCCCUUUCCCUUUUCUACUUAAUUCGCUUAUCAUACUGUUUCUUUUUUGCGUAAGAAUGUAUUUGCUUGAUUGUAAAGCUUCUUAGAGGAACGAUGUGUGCCUAACACAAG